rfam:Rhizobium taibaishanense strain 14971 scaffold1, whole genome shotgun sequence.
AGCUGAUGCACACGGUGGCUUCCUCCCAGUUCCCACCGCACCAGCUGUUCCCCUCUGGAGGUUUUUAACCUUCACACUUUAAGGGCCCUGGAGUAAUCCGGUGGCCCCUUUUU